GGGGUUGUGGCUCAGAGGGAGAGCACUUGCCUAGCAUGCAUGAGGCACUGGGUUCAAUCCCCAGCACCACA
rnacentral:tRNA from 1 species